UAGAAAGUUCCAUGCUUCCUUGCAUUCAAUAUUGCCUUUAAAUAUGAUAUGGAAUGUAAAGAAGUAUGGAGCGUUCGG
rnacentral:pre_miRNA from 1 species